rnacentral:lncRNA from 13 species
UUGGGGUUUGCUUGGGACUGUCUGGAGACAUUCUUCCAAGGUCUUUAGUUGCGGGCUGAAUAUCCCACUUUCCCUUGUAUGCUCAGGAGUCUAAGAGUGGAAUCGAAAGUAUGUUGUAUGGUUCUGAGGAGAUUAUCACUGACAUUUCCAUAUUUUCCCUCAGUUUUUCAAAUGCGGCAUCUAACUCUGCAGUCCACAGAAUAUCCUGAAUGAUGGUCUUCUAAAAGGGCUUAUCUGAUAGGUGCUAUGGGCCAGCCUGUUUCAUCUUCAUGACAUUCCUUCGAGAUGUGAUUUUAGCCACAUUCUUCUACAAGAAAGGGACUCUGAGAAUUUAAGAGUGUACAUUACCUCCACUUUGCUCACUGUCCUAGUGAACUCACCUGUGUACAGAGUUCUCCAGAGUUCUUCUGCUUCCCAGCAAGUUCAGGACUGUGCUAGGUAUGACCUGGGAUCGAAAGAGCAUAUACUCAGCUUUCGCCUUCAAGAAAAUUGGAUAUUGGCUUGGGAGAUAAGAUAAAUGAAAAGGAAGCAGAUGAUCUGUUAUAGAAAAGAUAACACUGUAAGCCCAACAUGUAUGUGACUAAGUUCUAAACCGAUAGGGAGUGCUGUGAGGUGUCCCUAUGGGUGCAGAUAGCAAUAGAUCUGACCAUACAAGUGUAAAUAGAACCCUAUUGAAUGUCCCCCUCUCUCACCAAUUGUUCUUAGUGGUUGCUUUGAGAUUUCUUCCCAUCGUUCUCAAAUUGUUAUGGUGAGAUUAACUGGCAAACAUUUAU